UAUUCAUAGAACUUUGAUCAAUGCUUGCAGGGACUAUUUUGUGCUGAGAACAAAGACACCAAAGAGAUACGGCCACUGGGAGGAAACUGGAGGGAGGGAAAAGGCUACCACGGAGCCCUGGAAAUCAGGAAAUUCCCAGCCCUAAUUACCAAAGCCCAGUGGAGGGGAGAGCUGCUGAUUAAAACAAAAACAAAAACAAAAACAGAGCACAAACAGGUGAAAAAGAAAGAAAACCCAAUAUUCCUAGCAAGGAGAAAUUCUCUUAUUUUUAGGGAUAGGGAUGAGAGGAUGCCCAAAAUGACAGGUCCACCUGGAAGUAGAGCACUUUUAAAAGACUAAGCACAGAGGGAAUUCCCCCCUCCCCGCCUUUUUAACUUAAAAGUUUUUGUUUUUUUUUUAAUUAUGGGUGAUUUACAAUGUUCCUUCAAUUUCUGUUGUAUGGCAAAGUGACCCAGCCACCCAUACAUACACAUUCGCAUUCUUUUUUUUUUUUUUUUUUUUUUUUUUUUUUCUUUUUUCAUCAUGUUGUAGCUUAAGAGACCAGACACAGUUCCCUGGGGUGUACAGUAGGACCCCAUCAACCAUCCAUUCUAAUCAUAACAGUCUGCAUCCACCAACUCCAAACUCCCGGUCAGUCUCCCUCUCUCCCGCACACUCCUUUGGCAAACACAGGUCUGCCCUCCCUUAAUUUUUUUUUUUUUGUCAUUUUCAGGUCCUCUCCCUGGAGAUUCCCAGGCUAGGUGUCUAAUCGGAGCUGUAGCUGCCGACCUACACCACAGCCCACUGCAACGCCGGAUCCUUAACCCCUGAGCAAGGCCAGGGACUGAACCCGCAACCUCAUGGUUCCUAGUCGGAUUCGUUAACCACUGAGCCACGACGGGAACUCCUGCCCUCCCUGAAUCUUNNNNNNNNNNNNNNNNNNNGUAGGGAACCGUGUAAACAGGCAGAGGCCCUGUUUGUGUUGAGCUGGUUGACCCUUUCCAGCGUCUCCGUAUGUCUCUCAGAAUCUUGUUCACACACUCCUCGCUGCUACUUACCACCUAAAUACCACUAAUAAAACACCCUCACCCUGAAAUCGGGUCGAAUAGGGCCAAGCGGCCGCCUGCUUCAAUCCCCGGUGGCAGUGAACUUGAACUUUCUCAGGUGAAUCAGCUAGUAAUACCUCCGUCUAGCCACUUUGCUGCACAGUGGAAUCACCUGGGGAUUAAAAAAAAAAAAACAAAAAAACUCAAAGCAAGUCCCAAAACGCUUAGCGCCCACAUGUAACGUGCAGCAUAGCUUGGAAACCAUCGGUCUAGCGACUUCUCCACGUCUCUUAAAAAACAAAUCCUCGGGCCCUCUGGGUCCUCCGCCCUGGGAGUACAAGCGAAGGUUCCGGGCCUCGGUGGCCCUGGUCCCCGCGCCGCAGUCUCCCUCCCUCCCA
rnacentral:lncRNA from 1 species